ensembl:snoRNA SNORA70 Small nucleolar RNA SNORA70
CUGCAGCUUAUUAAGCCGACUGGUCCUGCUGCAGUGCGGUUCCAGUGUGCAAUGGUUGCAGACAGUGACUCUUUGGUUGUGUAUGUCCUCAGCUGGGAGGUGCUGAGUGCUUUAAGGGACCACUGAGACAAAA